rnacentral:misc_RNA from 1 species
GAUGAAGAACGCAGCGAACUGCGAUAAGUAAUGUGAAUUGCAGAAUUCAGUGAAUCAUCGAGUCUUUGAACGCACAUUGCGCCCCCUGGCAUUCCGGGGGGCAUGCCUGUCCGAGCGUCAUUGCUGCCCUUCAAGCCCGGCUUGUGUGUUGGGUCGUCGUCCCCCCCGGGGGACGGGCCCGAAAGGCAGCGGCGGCACCGCGUCCGGUCCUCGAGCGUAUGGGGCUUUGUCACCCGCUCGAUUAGGGCCGGCCGGGCGCCAGCCGGCGUCUCCAACCUUUUAUUUUACCAGGUUGACCUCGGAUCAGGUAGGGAUACUCGCUGAACUUAAGCAUAUCAAUAAGCGGAGGA